AUUGAUUGAUGUAAAUAGCAUAAAAAGACUGGGUCUCGCUGUAUUACUCAGGCUGCACUACAGUGUCUACUCUCGGGCGCGAACCCACUACUGAGCAGCACGGGGGCUUUGACCUGCUCCGUUUCCGACCUGGGCCGGUGCACCCCUCCUUAGACGACCUGGUGGUCCCGGGCUCCCCCCGGAGCACCAUAUCGAUACCGAACUUAGUGCGGACACCCGAUCGAUAUAGUCCACUGCAGCUCAGAGCUCCUGAGCUCAAACGAUCCGCCAGCCUCAGCCUCCCAGUGACUUGGAUUACAGGCACGCGCCACCGUACCCGGCAGCAGCUCCUUCACUCAUAGUGGUUUUGGGAGUUUUACAAAUGGAACGUAAUACGCGACGUCAUCAGGUAGGACGUUCCAACGGAAUUCUAAUCCACACUCCAUACCAGUUUAAACAUCAGAAAAAAGAAGACCGGAGCGUGAUCCUAAACACCACACUAAAGAAUUGAAGGUCAGCUCAUGCAGCCUCUGCUAAGAUGGAAACACCAGCAAUCAACAUCAUCUUACAGACCAAACAGGUGUCACCACUUGGUCGACCACAUCGUCCACGAUCGCAGAGACGACGUCGACGAUCGGAGAGACAUUGUUGAGGAUGAGGGAGACAUCGUCCUCGAUCGGAGAUAUUGUCCAGGAUUGCAGAGACCUUGUCAAAGACGAGAGAGACAUUGUCCCAUGCUUCGCAGAGCUCUGUGCAAGAAUCGGUAGAGACACUGUGGUUCCUCGAUUCGACGGCAUGACCGUGAUCAUGGUGACAUUGUCGUUGAUCUCAGAGACAUUGUCUGCGAUCACAGAGACAUUGUCGAUGAUCGCAGAGACUUUGUCCAUAAUCUCAGAGACAUUGUCCGCGAUCACAGACAUAGUCCACGAUCACAGAGAGUCUUCGUACAAUGAAUAAGUUCUUUGACACCAGGACAGAGGCCUCCAGGUGUCACCACUUGGUCCACAACAUCGUCCACGGUCGCAGAGACAUGGUCCAUGAUCGGAGAGACAUUGUUGAGGAUGAGGGAGACAUCGUCCUCGAUCAGAGACAUUGUCCAUGACUCGUGGUGACUCGGUCCCCGAUAAGUCGGCACUGCCGGCGUUCAGAGACACUGUUGAUGAUCGCAGAGACUUUGUCCAUAAUCUCAGAGACAUUGUCCGCGAUCACAGAGACGUAGUCCACGAUCACAGAGAGUCUUUGUACAAUUAAGAAGAUCUUUGACACCAGCACAGAGCCCUCCAGGUGUCACCACUUGGUCCACAACAUCGUCCACGAUCGGAGAGACAUUGUUGAGGAUGAGGGAGACAUCGUCCUCGAUCAGAGACAUUGUCCAUGACUCGUGGUGACUCGGUCCCCGAUAAGUCGGCACUGCCGGCGUUCAGAGACAUUGUCGAUGAUCGCAGAGACUUUGUCCAUAAUCUCAGAGACAUUGUCCGCGAUCACAGAGACGUAGUCCACGAUCAUGAAAAAUCUUUGUACAAUGAAGAAGUUCUUUGACAGAGGCCUCCAGGUGUCACCACUUGGUCCACCACAUCGUCCACGAUCGCCGAGACGACGUCCACGAUCGGAGAGACAUUGUUGAGGAUGAGGGAGACAUCGUCCUCGAUCGGAGAUAUUGUCCAGGAUUGCAGAGACCUUGUCAAAGACGAGAGAGACAUUGUCCCAUGCUUCGCAGAGCUCUGUGCAAGAAUCGGUAGAGACACUGUGGUUCCUCGAUUCGACGGCAUGACCGUGAUCAUGGUGACAUUGUCGUUGAUCUCAGAGACAUUGUCUGCGAUCACAGAGACAUUGUCGAUGAUCGCAGAGACUUUGUCCAUAAUCUCAGAGACAUUGUCCGCGAUCACAGACAUAGUCCACGAUCACAGAGAGUCUUCGUACAAUGAAUAAGUUCUUUGACACCAGGACAGAGCCCUCCAGGUGUCACCACUUGGUCCACAACAUUGUCCACGGUCGCAGAGACAUGGUCCAUGAUCGGAGAGACAUUGUUGAGGAUGAGGGAGACAUCGUCCUCGAUCAGGGACAUUGUCCAUGACUCGUGGUGACUCGGUCCCCGAUAAGUCGGCACUGCCGGCGUUCAGAGACACUGUCGAUGAUCGCAGAGACUUUGUCCAUAAUCUCAGAGACAUUGUCCGCGAUCACAGAGACGUAGUCCACGAUCACAGAGAGUCUUUGUACAAUUAAGAAGAUCUUUGACACCAGCACAGAGCCCUCCAGGUGUCACCACUUGGUCCACAACAUCGUCCACGAUCGGAGAGACAUUGUUGAGGAUGAGGGAGACAUCGUCCUCGAUCAGAGACAUUGUCCAUGACUCGUGGUGACUCGGUCCCCGAUAAGUCGGCACUGCCGGCGUUCAGAGACAUUGUCGAUGAUCGCAGAGACUUUGUCCAUAAUCUCAGAGACAUUGUCCGCGAUCACAGAGACGUAGUCCACGAUCAUAAAGAAUCUUUGUACAAUGAAGAAGUUCUUUGACAGAGGCCUCCAGGUGUCACCACUUGGUCCACCACAUCGUCCACGAUCGCCGAGACGACGUCCACGAUCGGAGAGACAUUGUUGAGGAUGAGGGAGACAUCGUCCUCGAUCGGAGAUAUUGUCCAGGAUUGCAGAGACCUUGUCAAAGACGAGAGAGACAUUGUCCCAUGCUUCGCAGAGCUCUGUGCAAGAAUCGGUAGAGACACUGUGGUUCCUCGAUUCGACGGCAUGACCGUGAUCAUGGUGACAUUGUCGUUGAUCUCAGAGACAUUGUCUGCGAUCACAGAGACACUGUCGAUGAUCGCAGAGACUUUGUCCAUAAUCUCAGAGACAUUGUCCGCGAUCACAGAGACGUAGUCCACGAUCACAGAGUCUUCGUACAAUGAAGAAGUUCUUUGACACCAGGACAGAGCCCUCCAGGUGUCACCACUUGGUCCACAACAUCGUCCACGGUCGCAGAGACAUGGUCCAUGAUCGGAGAGACAUUGUUGAGGAUGAGGGAGACAUCGUCCUCGAACAGAGACAUUGUCCAUGACUCGUGGUGACUCGGUCCCCGAUAAGUCGGCACUGCCGGCGUUCAGAGACAUUGUCGAUGAUCGCAGAGACUUUGUCCAUAAUCUCAGAGACAUUGUCCGCGAUCACAGAGACGUAGUCCACGAUCAUAAAGAAUCUUUGUACAAUGAAGAAGUUCUUUGACAG